GAGAGGGGGCGUGGCCGCGGCAUUGUUCGGAAGCCUCGAGCUCGGUGCGCGCAGGAGAGAGUUCCACAUCGAGGACGGUGCCUUGUUGCUAGUAGAGACCAGGCAACGGUUGUUUACCCCGCUUUCCUACAGCGUUUCCCUUCUAGAGGCACUCGGGUGUAAAAUGAUUAUUCCUGUGAGAUGCUUCACUUGUGGCAAAAUAGUUGGAAACAAAUGGGAAGCAUAUCUUGGCCUUCUGCAAGCAGAAUAUACAGAAGGUGAUGCUUUGGAUGCUCUGGGUCUGAAGAGAUAUUGCUGCCGGCGAAUGCUGCUUGCCCACGUUGAUCUGAUUGAGAAACUCCUGAAUUAUGCCCCACUGGAGAAAUAAAUGGCAGGAGAAAUGUGUGCACAAGACACGUACACAUACUCACACAUGGACCCAGAGUAUUGCUGGAAAUCCUCAAGCCGAACUUCUGGGGUUGCAAAUGCAGAUUGUUCUCAGUCAGGGAUUUUACUUUCUGGGCACACUGCUGCUCCAGCCACUAACCUCUUCAAAGGAAAUUACUGAAAGCUGAAAUCCAUUUACACACAGUUGGGGACUGUAGUUUUAAUUAAAAGAGGGAUGGAAGUUCAUCAGAAUCCCAUGGAUUUUGAGACUGGUGAAUUUUUUAAAAUUGUACUUUUGAGUUACUGGCAGUCGUUUUAAUAACACUUUAGAAUAUAGUCUGCUCAUGAUGUUGUGAUGAUUGUCCUCCCUUCCACUCCUUGUCAUCUUUUCCUUGUGUUACGCCACAUCUUAUUUGAGAAAGUGGAGAAAGUUAGCUGCAUACUAACCUCUGAAUUUCAGGGUUUUGCUCCUGGCAUCUGUCAAUGUUAUGGAGAAUGAGAACCUCCUCUGCAGUAUUGUUCCAGCCUGUUGUAUGAUAUGACAUUAUCUAAAAAAACUGGAGAUUCAGCUGUGUCAAGUGCCAUGGGUUGUGAUGUGAAAAACUAAUAAUAAAAAUGGAAGAUGGA